rnacentral:rRNA from 1 species
CACACUAUCAUUAACUGAAUCCAUAGGUUAAUGAGGCGAACCGGGGGAACUGAAACAUCUAAGUACCCCGAGGAAAAGAAAUCAACCGAGAUUCCCCCAGUAGCGGCGAGCGAACGGGGAGCAGCCCAGAGCCUGAAUCAGUGUGUGUGUUAGUGGAAGCGUCUGGAAAGGCGCGCGAUACAGGGUGACAGCCCCGUACACAAAAAUGCACAUGCUGUGAGCUCGAUGAGUAGGGCGGGACACGUGGUAUCCUGUCUGAAUAUGGGGGGACCAUCCUCCAAGGCUAAAUACUCCUGACUGACCGAUAGUGAACCAGUACCGUGAGGGAAAGGCGAAAAGAACCCCGGCGAGGGGAGUGAAAAAGAACCUGAAACCGUGUACGUACAAGCAGUGGGAGCACGCUUAGGCGUGUGACUGCGUACCUUUUGUAUAAUGGGUCAGCGACUUAUAUUCUGUAGCAAGGUUAACCGAAUAGGGGAGCCGAAGGGAAACCGAGUCUUAACUGGGCGUUAAGUUGCAGGGUAUAGACCCGAAACCCGGUGAUCUAGCCAUGGGCAGGUUGAAGGUUGGGUAACACUAACUGGAGGACCGAACCGACUAAUGUUGAAAAAUUAGCGGAUGACUUGUGGCUGGGGGUGAAAGGCCAAUCAAACCGGGAGAUAGCUGGUUCUCCCCGAAAGCUAUUUAGGUAGCGCCUCGUGAACUCAUCUCCGGGGGUAGAGCACUGUUUCGGCAAGGGGGUCAUCCCGACUUACCAACCCGAUGCAAACUGCGAAUACCGGAGAAUGUUAUCACGGGAGACACACGGCGGGUGCUAACGUCCGUCGUGAAGAGGGAAACAACCCAGACCGCCAGCUAAGGUCCCAAAGUCAUGGUUAAGUGGGAAACGAUGUGGGAAGGCCCAGACAGCCAGGAUGUUGGCUUAGAAGCAGCCAUCAUUUAAAGAAAGCGUAAUAGCUCACUGGUCGAGUCGGCCUGCGCGGAAGAUGUAACGGGGCUAAACCAUGCACCGAAGCUGCGGCAGCGACGCUGAUGCGUUGUUGGGUAGGGGAGCGUUCUGUAAGCCUGUGAAGGUGUGCUGUGAGGCAUGCUGGAGGUAUCAGAAGUGCGAAUGCUGACAUAAGUAACGAUAAAGCGGGUGAAAAGCCCGCUCGCCGGAAGACCAAGGGUUCCUGUCCAACGUUAAUCGGGGCAGGGUGAGUCGACCCCUAAGGCGAGGCCGAAAGGCGUAGUCGAUGGGAAACAGGUUAAUAUUCCUGUACUUGGUGUUACUGCGAAGGGGGGACGGAGAAGGCUAUGUUGGCCGGGCGACGGUUGUCCCGGUUUAAGCGUGUAGGCUGGUUUUCCAGGCAAAUCCGGAAAAUCAAGGCUGAGGCGUGAUGACGAGGCACUACGGUGCUGAAGCAACAAAUGCCCUGCUUCCAGGAAAAGCCUCUAAGCAUCAGGUAACAUCAAAUCGUACCCCAAACCGACACAGGUGGUCAGGUAGAGAAUACCAAGGCGCUUGAGAGAACUCGGGUGAAGGAACUAGGCAAAAUGGUGCCGUAACUUCGGGAGAAGGCACGCUGAUAUGUAGGUGAAGUCCCUCGCGGAUGGAGCUGAAAUCAGUCGAAGAUACCAGCUGGCUGCAACUGUUUAUUAAAAACACAGCACUGUGCAAACACGAAAGUGGACGUAUACGGUGUGACGCCUGCCCGGUGCCGGAAGGUUAAUUGAUGGGGUCAGCGCAAGCGAAGCUCUUGAUCGAAGCCCCGGUAAACGGCGGCCGUAACUAUAACGGUCCUAAGGUAGCGAAAUUCCUUGUCGGGUAAGUUCCGACCUGCACGAAUGGCGUAAUGAUGGCCAGGCUGUCUCCACCCGAGACUCAGUGAAAUUGAACUCGCUGUGAAGAUGCAGUGUACCCGCGGCAAGACGGAAAGACCCCGUGAACCUUUACUAUAGCUUGACACUGAACAUUGAGCCUUGAUGUGUAGGAUAGGUGGGAGGCUUAGAAGUGUGGACGCCAGUCUGCAUGGAGCCGACCUUGAAAUACCACCCUUUAAUGUUUGAUGUUCUAACGUUGACCCGUAAUCCGGGUUGCGGACAGUGUCUGGUGGGUAGUUUGACUGGGGCGGUCUCCUCCUAAAGAGUAACGGAGGAGCACGAAGGUUGGCUAAUCCUGGUCGGACAUCAGGAGGUUAGUGCAAUGGCAUAAGCCAGCUUGACUGCGAGCGUGACGGCGCGAGCAGGUGCGAAAGCAGGUCAUAGUGAUCCGGUGGUUCUGAAUGGAAGGGCCAUCGCUCAACGGAUAAAAGGUACUCCGGGGAUAACAGGCUGAUACCGCCCAAGAGUUCAUAUCGACGGCGGUGUUUGGCACCUCGAUGUCGGCUCAUCACAUCCUGGGGCUGAAGUAGGUCCCAAGGGUAUGGCUGUUCGCCAUUUAAAGUGGUACGCGAGCUGGGUUUAGAACGUCGUGAGACAGUUCGGUCCCUAUCUGCCGUGGGCGCUGGAGAACUGAGGGGGGCUGCUCCUAGUACGAGAGGACCGGAGUGGACGCAUCACUGGUGUUCGGGUUGUCAUGCCAAUGGCACUGCCCGGUAGCUAAAUGCGGAAGAGAUAAGUGCUGAAAGCAUCUAAGCACGAAACUUGCCCCGAGAUGAGUUCUCCCUGACUCCUUGAGAGUCCUGAAGGAACGUUGAAGACGACGACGUUGAUAGGCCGGGUGUGUAAGCGCAGCGAUGCGUUGAGCUAACCGGUACUAAUGAACCGUGAGGCUUAACCUU